UAAUAUAUUUUUCUCUCCCCUGUUGCUGUGUGAAGCCAUACAAACAGUGGGCAAAGCUGACAGAGAAGCUGGGGUGGCAGAAUUGAAGUUGGUGGUACUGCUGCCAGGUGCACGGCACACGGUUGGAAGAGCUGUAUCUCUGUCUUGAAGAGAAAAAACAAGCUUUGGAAAUGAUGCUUUAUGCCUGCGCAGGUGAGUUUGCUCUUUUGCAAGGUUUAUUUUUCAGAUCACAGGAAAGGGAUUUGAGUGCUA
rnacentral:lncRNA from 1 species